rnacentral:tRNA from 1 species
GCCCUCGUAGCUCAGUGGAUAGAGCACCGCUCUCCUAAAGCGGGUGCGCAGGUUCGACUCCUGCCGGGGGCG